rnacentral:snRNA from 1 species
GUGCUCGCUUCAGCAGGAUAUUUACUAAAAUUGGAACAAUACAGAGAGGAUUAGCAUGGCCCCUGUGAAAAUUCCUGCUGUUUCAUACUUUA